GUGGGCGUAGCUCAGUUGGUCAGAGCGCCUGUCUGUGGAACAGGAGGUCGUGGGUUCGAGCCCCAUCGCCCACC
rnacentral:tRNA from 1 species